ACUAUGGUGUGUAGUAAAAUAGCAUGCAAGGCAAUUCAAAAAUAUAACAAUAGCAAAUAUAAUAAAACAAAAAAUAAUAAUAAAUAAAACAAUUUAUGAAGCACCCACGUAAUGUGUCACGAGCGCUAGUGACCGUUGCAAGCACUUGUGUGACGAGCGUCACACAAGCCAUCACGGUCGUCACGCAAGUACCCAUGACGCCCGUAACACCUUCUGUCACGAGCGUGACAGCUCGAGAAUAGGUGAACGUUGCUGACCGUUGGGGACACGACCGUUGCUCCCCUACCUUUUUAUUU
rnacentral:lncRNA from 1 species